rnacentral:rRNA from 1 species
AAUCGUGGAUCAGCGUGCCACGGUGAAUGCGUUCCCGGGUCUUGUACACACCGCCCGUCACACCAUGGGAGUUGGUUCUACCUUAAGGCAAGGUUUCAAACCCUUGACCACGGUAUAGUCAGCGACUGGGGUGAAGUCGUAACAAGGUAGCCGUAGUUACCUUGUUACGACUGAGCCAUGA